CUGGCUCAGGACGAACGCUGGCGGCGUGCUUAACACAUGCAAGUCGAACGGUAAGGCCCUUUCGGGGGUACACGAGUGGCGAACGGGUGAGUAACACGUGAGUAACCUGCCCUUGACUCUGGGAUAACAUCUGGAAACAGUUGCUAAUACUGGAUAUGAGCUGCCCUGGCAUCGGGGUGGUUGGAAAGUUUUUCGGUCAAGGAUGGACUCGCGGCCUAUCAGCUUGUUGGUGAGGUAGUGGCUCACCAAGGCUUCGACGGGUAGCCGGCCUGAGAGGGCGACCGGCCACAUUGGGACUGAGAUACGGCCCAAACUCCUACGGGAGGCAGCAGUGGGGAAUAUUGCACAAUGGGCGGAAGCCUGAUGCAGCAACGCCGCGUGCGGGAUGACGGCCUUCGGGUUGUAAACCGCUUUCAUCCAUGACGAAGCUUUUGUGACGGUAGUGGAAGAAGAAGCACCGGCUAACUACGUGCCAGCAGCCGCGGUGAUACGUAGGGUGCGAGCGUUGUCCGGAUUUAUUGGGCGUAAAGAGCUUGUAGGCGGUUUGUUGCGUCGGGAGUGAAAACUCAGGGCUUAACCCUGAGCCUGCUUCCGAUACGGGCAGACUUGAGGAAGGUAGGGGAGAUUGGAAUUCCUGGUGAAGCGGUGGAAUGCGUAGAUAUCAGGAGGAACACCAGUGGCGAAGGCGGAUCUCUGGACCUUUCCUGACGCUGAGAAGCGAAAGCGUGGGGAGCAAACAGGCUUAGAUACCCUGGUAGUCCACGCCGUAAACGGUGGGUACUAGGUGUGGGGGACAUUCCACGUUCUCCGUGCCGCAGCUAACGCAUUAAGUACCCCGCCUGGGGAGUACGGCCGCAAGGCUAAAACUCAAAGGAAUUGACGGGGCCCCGCACAAGCGGCGGAGCAUGCGGAUUAAUUCGAUGCAACGCGAAGAACCUUACCUGGGUUUGACAUAUGCCGGAAACAUCUAG
rnacentral:rRNA from 1 species